rnacentral:rRNA from 1 species
AGAGUUUGAUCCUGGCUCAGGACGAACGCUGGCGGCGUGCCUAACACAUGCAAGUCGAACGGAACUGUUUUGAAAGAUUUCUUCGGAAUGAAUUUGAUUUAGUUUAGUGGCGGACGGGUGAGUAACGCGUGAGUAACCUGCCUUCAAGAGGGGGAUAACAUUCUGAAAAGAAUGCUAAUACCGCAUGAUAUAUCGGAACCACAUGGUUUUGAUAUCAAAGAUUUUAUCGCUUGAAGAUGGACUCGCGUCCGAUUAGUUAGUUGGUGAGGUAACGGCUCACCAAGACCGCGAUCGGUAGCCGGACUGAGAGGUUGAACGGCCACAUUGGGACUGAGACACGGCCCAGACUCCUACGGGAGGCAGCAGUGGGGGAUAUUGCGCAAUGGGGGAAACCCUGACGCAGCAACGCCGCGUGAAGGAUGAAGGUCUUCGGAUUGUAAACUUCUUUUAUUAAGGACGAAGAAAGUGACGGUACUUAAUGAAUAAGCUCCGGCUAACUACGUGCCAGCAGCCGCGGUAAUACGUAGGGAGCAAGCGUUGUCCGGAUUUACUGGGUGUAAAGGGUGCGUAGGCGGCUUUGCAAGUCAGAUGUGAAAUCUAUGGGCUCAACCCAUAGCCUGCAUUUGAAACUGCAGAGCUUGAGUGAAGUAGAGGCAGGCGGAAUUCCCCGUGUAGCGGUGAAAUGCGUAGAGAUGGGGAGGAACACCAGUGGCGAAGGCGGCCUGCUGGGCUUUAACUGACGCUGAGGCACGAAAGCGUGGGUAGCAAACAGGAUUAGAUACCCUGGUAGUCCACGCUGUAAACGAUGAUUACUAGGUGUGGGGGGUCUGACCCCUUCCGUGCCGGAGUUAACACAAUAAGUAAUCCACCUGGGGAGUACG